UCAUUUUUUGAUACUUUAAAAUUAGAGAUAUUCUUGAGAAAUUCAAGGGUUCUCUAAUGAGUAUCAUUGAGAGUAAGAAACUCUUAUUGAUACUGUCUUGUACAAACAUACACUCCUGUUGAUUCAGGUAUUCUCUUAGUUCAGUCCAAGUUAAGAUUUGUAACUGUUUAUCUACAUUAUAUAAAAUUGCUUUGUUUUGUAAGUGCUUUACAAGUUUGUUGCAGCUUAGCCUACCAAAUGAAUCCAAGUGCACCAUUGUAGAUAUUUUUUAAAAGCAGGAUUGAUGAACAACUAAACAAACAAUAUUGUGGAGAUACAUGUGAAUUAUAAUGGAGAUGCCACCAGCUAUUCAAUGCAUUGGAGAGCAGCUCUACUACCAAAGUGGAGAUGUGGAUCACUGGAUGUGGUAUGAGAUAUCUGGUAACCAUAUUUUCAGUAGUCAAGACAGGAUAGAAUUCUCUAACACUUCCCUAUUCUAACACAGAUAUCAAGCUAGGGCCGGGAUGUUUAUGGUGGUUACUAUUAUGACACAGUUCAUCCCGACCCCUUCGGCAGUGCCUUGUUCUAUCCGGUUGGUUCUGAGUCCAAUGGGUGCUUUCAAGUUAGAGUCAACUGACCUGCAGAUCGCAUUUCCGCGUGCCAACAACUGGACGAACAUGUGCUACUGUUAGAUUGUGGUUUAUGGAUGGCUGUGGAGUAAGAAAAUCACCUUGAAUAGGGUUUGAGUUGUCAGGGUCCCUGUAGGAUAUUUGCAGUUGUCAGUCGACUAUUACAUUUCUGAUCAGUGCCCUUUGUGGUGGUGCCACAGCUUUUUCAUGAUGGUUGCGGGCUCAGUACAGCACUAAUUUGAUGAGCAGGUGGUACUGUUACACUGUGGCCUGGUCUGACUUGUUCUAUGAGACUGGCGAUGCAAAUAUUAGAUUGUAGUGCCUUCAGCAAACUUAGGGAUGGGGGUGUGAGAAUUAUCUGUCUUAAGAAUUAGAAUUAAGAAAAAUACGUUUAUAUCUGAGGCUGGAGUGAUAUUAAGUAUAGUCUCUAGCCUUUGCUAGUUGGCGGGGUGAAGCCUCUAGCCUUUGCUAGUUGGCGGGGAAGGGAAAAUAUAGCCUCUAGCCUUUGCUAGUUGGCGGGGAAGGGAAAAUAUAGCCUCUAGCCUUUGCUAGUUGGCGGGGGAUGGGAAAACGAAGCCUCUAGCCUCAUCUACAGUCUUAAAUUGCAUGCAUUUUAGUUUUAGUAUUUAGAAAAUACAAAUAUAAGUUGAGAAUUAAGAUUGAAGUAUGUGAAAUAUAGCCUCUAGCCUUUGCUAGUUGGCGGGGUUAAGCCUCUAGCCUUUGCUAGUUGGCGGGGUGAAGCCUCUAGCCUUUGCUAGUUGGCGGGGUGAAGCCUCUAGCCUUUGCUAGUUGGCGGGGAGAAUGGAAAUCACCGCUAUCUUGUGAUAGCCUUGGGUUAAUCUUAGUUUUAACAUAAUUUUAAGUCUUAACUUGCAUGCAAUUUACUUAAUAGGUGACACUUCCCCAUCGGUAGGGGAAAUGCACAAGGUAUUUUGCAUCAAAGAGGGUGUAUCACCCUUGGAGAUGCUGGGAAGUGGAGAUAUUCUUGAGAAAUUCAAGAGUUUUUUACUUCUCUACUCUACUAAGUAUCUUUAAGAGUGAGAGACUCUCAUAGAUACUGUAGAGUACAACAUUCACGCCUGGCGGUCCUUAGUUUAGUGAUAAGUUCAAUCUAUGAUUAGCAACUAUUUAUCAUCAUUUUUUGAUACUUUAAAAUUAGAGAUAUUCUUGAGAAAUUCAAGGGUUCUCUAAUGAGUAUCAUUGAGAGUAAGAAACUCUUAUUGAUACUGUCUUGUACAAACAUACACUCCUGUUGAUUCAGGUAUUCUCUUAGUUCAGUCCAAGUUAAGAUUUGUAACUGUUUAUCUACAUUAUAUAAAAUUGCUUUGUUUUGUAAGUGCUUUACAAGUUUGUUGCAGCUUAGCCUACCAAAUGAAUCCAAGUGCACCAUUGUAGAUAUUUUUUAAAAGCAGGAUUGAUGAUGAACAACUAAACAAACAAUAUUGUGGAGAUACAUGUGAAUUAUAAUGGAGAUGCCACCAGAUAUUCAAUGCAUUGGAGAGCAGCUCUACUACCAAAGUGGAGAUGUGGAUCACUGGAUGUGGUAUGAGAUAUCUGGUAACCAUAUUUUCAGUAGUCAAGACAGGAUAGAAUUCUCUAACACUUCCCUAUUCUAACACAGAUAUCAAGCUAGGGCUGGGAUGUUUAUGGUGGUUACUAUUAUGACACAGUUCAUCCCGACCCUUUCGGCAGUGCCAUGUUCUAUCCGGUUGGUUCUGAGUCCAAUGGGUGCUUUCAAGUUAGAGUCAACUGACCUGCAGAUCGCAUUUCCGCGUGCCAACAACUGGACGAACAUGUGCUACUGUUAGAUUGUGGUUUAUGGAUGGCUGUGGAGUAAGAAAAUCACCUUGAAUAGGGUUUGAGUUGUCAGGGUCCCUGUAGGAUAUUUGCAGUUGUCAGUCGACUAUUACAUUUCUGAUCAGUGCCCUUUGUGGUGGUGCCACAGCUUUUUCAUGAUGGUUGCGGGCUCAGUACAGCACUAAUUUGAUGAGCAGGUGGUACUGUUACACUGUGGCCUGGUCUGACUUGUUCUAUGAGACUGGCGAUGCAAAUAUUAGAUUGUAGUGCCUUCAGCAAACUUAGGGAUGGGGGUGUGAGAAUUAUCUGUCUUAAGAAUUAGAAUUAAGAAAAAUACGUUUAUAUCUGAGGCUGGAGUGAUAUUAAGUAUAGUCUCUAGCCUUUGCUAGUUGGCGGGGUGAAGCCUCUAGCCUUUGCUAGUUGGCGGG